CUCAGGACGAACGCUGGCGGCGUGCCUAACACAUGCAAGUCGAACGGAGAGCAUAUGAAGUACUCGGUACGGAAUGCGUCUAGUGGCGAACGGGUGAGUAACACGUGGGCAACCUGCCCCAGACUGGGGGAUAACAUUGUGAAAACAGUGCUAAUACCGCAUGACAGGGUUCCGGGCAUCCGGGACUCUUGAAAGGAGAAAUCCGGUCAGGGAUGGGCCCGCGUCCAAUUAGCUAGUUGGUGGGGUAACGGCCCACCAAGGCGACGAUUGGUAGCCGAACUGAGAGGUUGAUCGGCCACAUUGGGCUGAGACACGGCCCAGACUCCUACGGGAGGCAGCAGUGGGGAAUAUUGGGCAAUGGGCGAAAGCCUCGACCCAGCGACGCCGCGUGAAGGAUGAAGGUCUUCGGAUUGUAAACUUCUUUGAUCAGGGAAGAAAGAAAUGACGGUACCUGAAAAACAAGCCACGGCUAACUACGUGCCAGCAGCCGC
rnacentral:rRNA from 1 species